rnacentral:rRNA from 1 species
UUGCCCUACGGGACGCAGCAGUGAGGAAUAUUGGUCAAUGGGCGGAAGCCUGAACCAGCCAAGUCGCGUGAGGGAAUAAGGCCCUACGGGUCGUAAACCUCUUUUGCCGGGGAGCAAGGGCGGGGACGUGUCCCGGCUCGGAGAGUACCCGGUGAAAAAGCAUCGGCUAACUCCGUGCCAGCAGCCGCGGUAAUACGGAGGAUGCGAGCGUUAUCCGGAUUUAUUGGGUUUAAAGGGUGCGUAGGCGGAUCGAUAAGUUAGAGGUGAAAUGUUCGGGCUCAACUCGGGAACUGCCUCUAAUACUG